rnacentral:rRNA from 1 species
UACGGAGGGUGCAAGCGUUAUCCGGAUUCACUGGGUUUAAAGGGUGCGUAGGCGGGUUGGUAAGUCCGUGGUGAAAUCCCCAAGCUUAACUUGGGAACUGCCGUGGAUACUAUCAAUCUUGAAUAUCGUGGAGGUAAGCGGAAUAUGUCAUGUAGCGGUGAAAUGCUUAGAUAUGACAUAGAACACCAAUUGCGAAGGCAGCUCACUAAGCAAAUAUUGACGCUGAGGCACGAAAGCGUGGGGAUCAAACAGG